rnacentral:lncRNA from 1 species
GACAAAGAGACAGUGUGACAAAGAGACACAAGACAGCUUGGAAGACGGUGGCCACUUCUCAUGGAAAAGAGUUUGCUUCAUUGUCUCAUAUGUCAGGAUGAAACAAGCCAACAGAACCUGAAAGUUCCACCACUCCAUGAGUUGAAUAGGUACGGUGAGUCUCUGGUACCACAUCCCUGCAUGGGGCUUCUGGUCAGGACAUAUUUGAGCUGUUGGUUAUUAAAAGCUGUCCUUAUGAUACUACUGCACUGAGAUGAAGGAUGCUGGGCUCUUCUGUGGAGAUGCUGUUAUUGCUGCUAUGGGACCUCCCUUUACUAAAAUGUCAUUUGAGGUAAUGUAUUACUCCCCCAGUAGCUACACAGCAGAAAAGAAGCUUG